rnacentral:misc_RNA from 1 species
UCAAACUUGGUCAUUUAGAGGAAGUAAAAGUCGUAACAAGGUAACCGUAGGUGAACCUGCGGUUGGAUCAUUAUUGAAAUCCAAAACAAUCUUGAGGCGUAUUGGCGAGCAAUCGUCUUACACUCAACACCCCAAAACCUUUGACUGCAGGACUUGUCCUGUGUGAACCUAAUCUGAUCUUCUCAAAGUCUUGGACUUUUGACUUGGUCAUUUUCUCGCAAGAGAGAUGGCCUGUCACUUGUCCCAAGAUGGCGGGUUGGUCAUUACUUUAACCUAGAAACAAACAUCUGUUUAACAUUUUGUUUUCUUUUACCAAAGCAUCGAGAUACAUUGUACCGAGAUGUGAAACUAAAGAAUAACAACUUUUGACAAUGGAUCUCUAGGCUCUCGCAUCGAUGAAGAACGCAGC